rnacentral:ncRNA from 1 species
UUAAAAGCGAUGAAGAGAAAAAGUAAAUUGUCCUUGUUUUUUACAGAGAGCUUCGGCAGCUGAAAAGAAGCAAAAACAGGCAUUUGAAAAAUGGUCUCUGAGCUCCGUCCUGAACGUGCCUUUUUGCAUAAGUAGGAUUCGGCGAGAUUUGGCACUCGUUAUCAAUGUCACAGUAUAAGAGCAAGCUUUUUGCUCCGUACUUGCUGAGGCGAAUAGUGUGAACUAUUUGCGAAAUAAGGUGGUAACACGUGGGAUUCCAAACCUCGUCCUUAAC